GAUGAACGCUGGCGGCGUGCCUAAUACAUGCAAGUCGAGCGAACAGAUGAGGAGCUUGCUCCUCUGACGUUAGCGGCGGACGGGUGAGUAACACGUGGAUAACCUACCUAUAAGACUGGGAUAACUUCGGGAAACCGGAGCUAAUACCGGAUAAUAUAUUGAACCGCAUGGUUCAAUAGUGAAAGACGGUUUUGCUGUCACUUAUAGAUGGAUCCGCGCCGCAUUAGCUAGUUGGUAAGGUAACAGCUUACCAAGGCAACGAUGCGUAGCCGACCUGAGAGGGUGAUCGGCCACACUGGAACUGAGACACGGUCCAGACUCCUACGGGAGGCAGCAGUAGGGAAUCUUCCGCAAAGGGCGAAAGCCUGACGGAGCAACGCCGCGUGAGUGAUGAAGGUCUUCGGAUCGUAAAACUCUGUUAUUAGGGAAGAACAAAUGUGUAAGUAACUAUGCACGUCUUGACGGUACCUAAUCAGAAAGCCACGGCUAACUACGUG
rnacentral:rRNA from 1 species